AACGUACGCUGGCGGCACGCCUAACACAUGCAAGUCGAACGAAGUAGCAAUACUUAGUGGCAGACGGGUGAGUAACAUGUAGGUAUCUGCCCUUUGGCCUGGAAUAACACGAGGAAACUUGUGCUAAUACCGGAUAAGUCUUUACGGAGAAAGCUUUAUGCACCAUUGGAUGAGCCUGCACUUGAUUAGUUUGUUGGUGGGGUAAUGGCCUACCAAGACUGUGAUCAAUAGCUGAUUUGAGAGGAUGAUCAGCCACAUUGGGACUGAGACACGGCCCAAACUCCUACGGGAGGCAGCAGUGGGGAAUCUUGCACAAUGGAGGAAACUCUGAUGCAGCGAUGCCGCGUGAGUGAAGAAGGCCCUUGGGUUGUAAAGCUCUUUCGUCGGGGAAGAAAAUGACUGUACCCGAAUAAGAAGGUCCGGCUAACUUCGUGCCAGCAGCCGCGGUAAUACGAAGGGACCUAGCGUAGUUCGGAAUUACUGGGCUUAAAGAGUUCGUAGGUGGUUGAAAAAGUUAGUGGUGAAAUCCCAGAGCUUAACUCUGGAACUGCCAUUAAAACUUUUCAGCUAGAGUAUGAUAGAGGAAAGCAGAAUUUCUAGUGUAGAGGUGAAAUUCGUAGAUAUUAGAAAGAAUACCAAUUGCGAAGGCAGCUUCUGGAUCAUUACUGACACUGAGGAACGAAAGCAUGGGUAGCGAAGAGGAUUAGAUACCCUCGUAGUCCAUGCCGUAAACGAUGUGUGUUAGACGUUGGAAAUUUAUUUUCAAUGUCGCAGGGAAACCGAUAAACACACCGCCUGGGGAGUACGACCGCAAGGUUAAAACUCAAAUGAAUUGACGGGGACCCGCACAAGUAGUGGAGCAUGUGGUUUAAUUCGAAGAUACGCGCAGAACCUUACCAACACUUGACAUGUUCGUCGCGACUCUAAGAGAUUAGAGUUUUCGGUUCGGCCGGACGAAACACAGGUGCUGCAUGGCUGUCGUCAGCUCGUGUCGUGAGAUGUUGGGUUAAGUCCCGCAACGAGCGCAACCCUCACUUUUAGUUGCCAUCAUUAAGUUGGGCACUCUGAAAGAACUGCCAGUGAUAAGCUGGAGGAAGGUGGGGAUGACGUCAAGUCCUCAUGGCCCUUACGUGUUGGGCUACACACGUGCUACAAUGGCG
rnacentral:rRNA from 1 species